rnacentral:rRNA from 1 species
UACGUAGGGGGCAAGCGUUGUCCGGAUUUAUUGGGCGUAAAGAGCGUGUAGGCGGCCUGAAAGGUCAGCUGUGAAAACUCGAGGCUCAACCUCGAGACGUCGGUUGAAACCAUCUGGCUAGAGUCCGGAAGAGGAGUGUGGAAUUCCCGGUGUAGCGGUGAAAUGCGCAGAUAUCGGGAAGAACACCCGUGGCUAAGGCGGCUCUCUAGUACGGUACUGACGCUGAGACGCGAAAGCGUGGGGAGCGAACAGG